rnacentral:rRNA from 1 species
GUCGAGCGGUAGAGAGGUGCUUGCACCUCUUGAGAGCGGCGGACGGGUGAGUAAAGCCUAGGAAUCUGCCUGGUAGUGGGGGAUAACGCUCGGAAACGGACGCUAAUACCGCAUACGUCCUACGGGAGAAAGCAGGGGACCUUCGGGCCUUGCGCUAUCAGAUGAGCCUAGGUCGGAUUAGCUAGUUGGUGAGGUAAUGGCUCACCAAGGCGACGAUCCGUAACUGGUCUGAGAGGAUGAUCAGUCACACUGGAACUGAGACACGGUCCAGACUCCUACGGGAGGCAGCAGUGGGGAAUAUUGGACAAUGGGCGAAAGCCUGAUCCAGCCAUGCCGCGUGUGUGAAGAAGGUCUUCGGAUUGUAAAGCACUUUAAGUUGGGAGGAAGGGCAUUAACCUAAUACGUUAGUGUUUUGACGUUACCGACAGAAUAAGCACCGGCUAACUCUGUGCCAGCAGCCGCGGUAAUACAGAGGGUGCAAGCGUUAAUCGGAAUUA